rnacentral:tRNA from 1 species
AGCGGAGUAGAGCAGUUUGGUAGCUCACGAGGCUCAUAACCUUGAGGUCACGGGUUCGAU